rnacentral:lncRNA from 1 species
CAGAUUUAUCUGAUUUGGGAAGGGAUGCUAAAGUGCCAAUUAAAGGCAGCUCGUCCGAAGAGGAAUGAAGUCGUGCGAUGGUUCACAUGAAGAGUCCUUCUGCCAUGGGUAGAAGGAGGCAGUCCCCAUCUGAAUAAUCCUGCCAUUUGAAUCAGAUUCAAAUAAAGAUUAUUCAAGAUAUUUUUUUCAAAAUUAUCUGAAAAAAGAAAGGUCACCUAAA